rnacentral:rRNA from 1 species
UAGUCAUAUGCUUGUCUCAAAAACUAACCCUUGCAUGUCUAAGUAUGAAUGUUAUACAGUGAAACUGCGAAUGGCUCAUUAAAACAGUUAUUGUUUAUUUGAUAAUCAAAUUUACAUGGAUAACCGUGGUAAUUCUAGAGCUAAUACAUGCUGAUAUGCCUGACUCUUAGGAAGGGCUGUAUUUAUUAAAUAACAAACCAAUAUUCCUCGUGUCUAUUGUGAUGACUCAUAAUAACUGAUUGAAUCGCAUGGACUUUGUCCGCAAUACAUCAUUCAAGUUUCUGCCCCAUCAGCUUUCGAUGGUAGUGUAUUGAACUACCAUGGCUUUAACGGGUAACGGAGGAUUAGGGUUCGAUUCCGGAGAGGGAGCCUGAAAAACGGCUACCACAUCUAAGGAAGGCAGCAGGCGCGUAAAUUACCCAAUCCUAAUUCAGGGAGGUAGUGACAAGAAAUAACGGACUGAGGCCUACGCUUCAGGAUUGCAAUGAGUAGAAUUUAAACCCCUUUGCAAGGAUCAAUU